GAUGAACGCUGGCGGCGUGCCUAAUACAUGCAAGUCGAGCGAACAGACGAGGAGCUUGCUCCUCUAACGUUAGCGGCGGACGGGUGAGUAACACGUGGAUAACCUACCUAUAAGACUGGGAUAACUUCGGGAAACCGGAGCUAAUACCGGAUAAUAUAUUGAACCGCAUGGUUCAAUAGUGAAAGACGGUUUUGCUGUCACUUAUAGAUGGAUCCGCGCCGCAUUAGCUAGUUGGUAAGGUAACAGCUUACCAAGGCAACGAUGCGUAGCCGACCUGAGAGGGUGAUCGGCCACACUGGAACUGAGACACGGUCCAGACUCAUACGGGAGGCAGCAGUAGGGAAUCUUCCGCAAUGGGCGAAAGCCUGACGGAGCAACGCCGCGUGAGUGAUGAAGGUCUUCGGAUCGUAAAACUCUGUUAUUAGGGAAGAACAAAUGUGUAAGUAACUAUGCACGUCUUGACGGUACCUAAUCAGAAAGCCACGGCUAACUACGUG
rnacentral:rRNA from 1 species